rnacentral:rRNA from 1 species
UCAAGUGAAGAAGCGCAUACGGUGGAUGCCUUGGCAGUCAGAGGCGAUGAAAGACGUGGUAGCCUGCGAAAAGCUUCGGGGAGUCGGCAAACAGACUUUGAUCCGGAGAUCUCUGAAUGGGGGAACCCACCUAGGAUAACCUAGGUAUCUUGUACUGAAUCCAUAGGUGCAAGAGGCGAACCAGGGGAACUGAAACAUCUAAGUACCCUGAGGAAAAGAAAUCAACCGAGAUUCCCUUAGUAGUGGCGAGCGAACGGGGAUUAGCCCUUAAGCUUCAUUGAUUUUAGCGGAACGCUCUGGAAAGUGCGGCCAUAGUGGGUGAUAGCCCCGUACGCGAAAGGAUCUUUGAAGUGAAAUCGAGUAGGACGGAGCACGAGAAACUUUGUCUGAACAUGGGGGGACCAUCCUCCAAGGCUAAAUACUACUGACUGACCGAUAGUGAACCAGUACCGUGAGGGAAAGGCGAAAAGAACCCCGGAGAGGGGAGUGAAAUAGAACCUGAAACCGUAUGCGUACAAGCAGUGGGAGCCUACUUGUUAGGUGACUGCGUACCUUUUGUAUAAUGGGUCAGCGACUUAUAUUCAGUGGCAAGCUUAACCGUAUAGGGUAGGCGUAGCGAAAGCGAGUCUUAAUAGGGCGUUUAGUCGCUGGGUAUAGACCCGAAACCGGGCGAUCUAUCCAUGAGCAGGUUGAAGGUUAGGUAACACUGACUGGAGGACCGAACCCACUCCCGUUGAAAAGGUAGGGGAUGACUUGUGGAUCGGAGUGAAAGGCUAAUCAAGCUCGGAGAUAGCUGGUUCUCCUCGAAAGCUAUUUAGGUAGCGCCUCAUGUAUCACUCUGGGGGGUAGAGCACUGUUUCGGCUAGGGGGUCAUCCCGACUUACCAAACCGAUGCAAACUCCGAAUACCCAGAAGUGCCGAGCAUGGGAGACACACGGCGGGUGCUAACGUCCGUCGUGAAAAGGGAAACAACCCAGACCGCCAGCUAAGGUCCCAAAGUUGUGGUUAAGUGGUAAACGAUGUGGGAAGGCUUAGACAGCUAGGAGGUUGGCUUAGAAGCAGCCAUCCUUUAAAGAAAGCGUAAUAGCUCACUAGUCGAGUCGGCCUGCGCGGAAGAUGUAACGGGGCUCAAACCACACACCGAAGCUGCGGGUGUCACGCAAGUGACGCGGUAGAGGAGCGUUCUGUAAGCCUGUGAAGGUGAGUUGAGAAGCUUGCUGGAGGUAUCAGAAGUGCGAAUGCUGACAUGAGUAACGACAAUGGGUGUGAAAAACACCCACGCCGAAAGACCAAGGGUUCCUGCGCAACGUUAAUCGACGCAGGGUUAGUCGGUUCCUAAGGCGAGGCUGAAAAGCGUAGUCGAUGGGAAACAGGUUAAUAUUCCUGUACUUCUGGUUACUGCGAUGGAGGGACGGAGAAGGCUAGGCCAGCUUGGCGUUGGUUGUCCAAGUUUAAGGUGGUAGGCUGAAAUCUUAGGUAAAUCCGGGGUUUCAAGGCCGAGAGCUGAUGACGAGUCGUCUUUUAGAUGACGAAGUGGUUGAUGCCAUGCUUCCAAGAAAAGCUUCUAAGCUUCAGGUAACCAGGAACCGUACCCCAAACCGACACAGGUGGUCGGGUAGAGAAUACCAAGGCGCUUGAGAGAACUCGGGUGAAGGAACUAGGCAAAAUGGCACCGUAACUUCGGGAGAAGGUGCGCCGGCUAGGGUGAAGGAUUUACUCCGUAAGCCCUGGCUGGUCGAAGAUACCAGGCCGCUGCGACUGUUUAUUAAAAACACAGCACUCUGCAAACACGAAAGUGGACGUAUAGGGUGUGACGCCUGCCCGGUGCCGGAAGGUUAAUUGAUGGGGUUAGCGCAAGCGAAGCUCUUGAUCGAAGCCCCGGUAAACGGCGGCCGUAACUAUAACGGUCCUAAGGUAGCGAAAUUCCUUGUCGGGUAAGUUCCGACCUGCACGAAUGGCGUAACGAUGGCGGCGCUGUCUCCACCCGAGACUCAGUGAAAUUGAAAUCGCUGUGAAGAUGCAGUGUAUCCGCGGCUAGACGGAAAGACCCCGUGAACCUUUACUGUAGCUUUGCACUGGACUUUGAGCCUGCUUGUGUAGGAUAGGUGGGAGGCUUUGAAGCGUGGACGCCAGUUCGCGUGGAGCCAUCCUUGAAAUACCACCCUGGCAUGCUUGAGGUUCUAACUCUGGUCCGUGAUCCGGAUCGAGGACAGUGUAUGGUGGGCAGUUUGACUGGGGCGGUCUCCUCCUAAAGAGUAACGGAGGAGUACGAAGG